rnacentral:lncRNA from 1 species
AAUGUCCUACACCUUCAGAGUUGUUUAUUCUUAAACAUUUUUGGGAGAAUUAGUGUUUCCAUGCAAAACAUGUCAGCCUUUUGAAAAGACUCUUUUGUAAGCACCAGGCUCUUAUAAGUUGCAAAUGUAUGGCAGAUUCUUUUGGUUUUCUGUUGGUUAUCUGAACAGUGUCACCAAUUCUGCCAAGAAAGUGAUGAGAUAUGGAAAAAGGCACUCAGUUGGAUGCUUUCGUUUUCUUGCCUUAAAUAUAUCACCAAACUCAAAAAGAAUUUGAGGUAAAUUUUAUUAAAAUCGAGUAUCAGCAUGGAGGACUUAGAUUACGCUACCUGUGUUUGAAAAUAAUGCGCUUUGCCUAACCUUCAGCAGAAUGUAUUGUUUUAGCAUAUUCUAUGUAU